CCAAAUUUUGCUCAACACUGUCACAGAAUUAGACAAGUAAAAUGAUAGUUUUGCUUCAAUUAGUUUUCCUUUUGGUAGCUUUUGGAGGUGUCCAAUCGGAGGUCCAGCUGGUGGAGUCUGGAGGAGAUGUGAAAAAGCCUGGAGAGUCCCUCCGCCUCUCCUGCAGAGCCUCUGGAUUCAACUUUGGGGGCUAUGGCAUGCACUGGGUGAGACAGUCUCCAGGGAAGGGCCUGGAAUGGGUGGCCUACAUAAGCUCCACUUCGGGUACAAUUUACUACUUGGAUAAAGUGAAGGGAAGAUUCACCAUCUCCAGGGACAAUUCCAACAGCCUCCUCUAUCUGCAAAUGAACAGCCUUAAAUCGGAAGACACUGCUGUGUAUUACUGUGCAAGAGACACAGUGAGAGGAAGUGAAUCUGAAGCCAGACAAAAACCCUCCUUUUCUCAUGACUGCUCUCAAUUACAAUCUUGA